rnacentral:lncRNA from 1 species
UACGAAUAAUGUUAGAAUCUAUGAUCUAAUUGAUUGAAUUAUUAUAUAUAUGCAUGAUAUGAGAAUAAUAUAUAUGUAUGUUGCAUUUGUAUUUCUGAUUGUACGUUCAACAUGCCUCAUGAUACCGUUAAAUUGAGCCAAUGAAAAGCAUAUGUUUUGCUAUUGUACUGAUUAAUUUUUUUUAAAAGCAUAUUUAUUGUUAUCGUAUCAAUCUAUUAUAAGCAUAUUAUUCG